rnacentral:rRNA from 1 species
UACAGAGGGUGCGAGCGUUAAUCGGAAUUACUGGGCGUAAAGCGCACGUAGGCGGCUUGGUAUGUCGGGUGUGAAAUCCCCGGGCUCAACCUGGGAACUGCAUCCGAAACUGCCAGGCUAGAGUAUCGGAGAGGUUGGUGGAAUUCUCGGUGUAGAGGUGAAAUUCGUAGAUAUCGAGAGGAACACCGGUGGCGAAGGCGGCCAACUGGACGAAUACUGACGCUGAGACUCGAAAGCGUGGGGAGCAAACAGG